UACGUAGGUGGCGAGCGUUGUCCGGAUUUACUGGGCGUAAAGAGCCCGCAGGCGGCCUGGCAAGUUCUGGGUGAAAUCUCCCGGCUCAACUGGGAGGGUGCCUAGAAAACUAUCAGGCUUGAGGCAUGGAGAGGGAUGCGGAAUUCCCGGUGUAGCGGUGAAAUGCGCAGAUAUCAGGAGGAACACCGGUGGCGAAGGCGGGUCUCUGGGCAGUAACUGACGCUGAGGAGCGAAAGCGUGGGGAGCGAACAGG
rnacentral:rRNA from 1 species